UAUUCUGCCCUACAGGGAAGGAUGAGAAGCUUCGACUAAGGUUCGACUCGAGCGAAGCGAGAGAACGUUGCCGCAGGCAACGGCCCGAAGGGCGAGGCGCUUUAGCGCCGAGUAAUCCUUCCCCC
rnacentral:sRNA from 1 species